rnacentral:tRNA from 1 species
GCGGGCGUAGUUCAAUGGUAGAAUUCCAGCCUUCCAAGCUGGUCGUGUGGGUUCGAUUCCCAUCGCCCGCU